ACGGCCUCCUGCAGGCACCACGAGUAGCCCUCGCUGUAGUCCUGGUGCAGGCUCUUGGGGCCGCCGGGGGCGGCGGCGAAGGCUGCGGGGAGUCGGGGCGGCGGUAGCUGACGGCCAUCUCCAGGAUGUCGGCCUUCUCCAGCUUGGAGUUGGGCUGGUGGCGCGCGAACUCCUGCUCUAGCAGCAGCUUCAGCUGCUCGAUGCUGCUGUUGAUGCGGUCGCGGCGCAUCUUCUCCACCACCGGCUUCCGCAGCUGCGGGCGGGAGGAGGGGGCGUCAGCGGGGCCGCGCCAGCGCGGGGGCCGCAGGGGCCGCGGCCGCGCACUUACUCGGUUUUUCUCUUUGGGGCUGAGCAGCUCCACGGCCACGGUGCUGGGGGCCAUGCCUGGCGCGGGGAGAGGCGAGGAGGCGAGGAAGCAGGGAGCGGAGCGGGCGCGUCCCGUGCUGGCGCGGGCCCCAGCCCCUAUAUAGGCGCGGGCGGCGGGCUGGCGCCUGGGGCCCGGGCGCCGCGGCCGUUCCCACACUCCGCGGCCAAUGGCGGCGCGGGCCGCACAAAGGCGCCGGCCCAUUAGCGCACGCUAAAUUGCCUGUGAAUUGGCGCGGGCACAAUGGGCGCUCCCCGAGGAGCAGGUGGGCCGCGCGGCACAAUGUCCGGGCUGUGGGAACGCGCUCGCCCUCAUUAGCAUCCCGGGGCCUGAUGCUGGGAGCCCCGCGCCUCAAUAUGCUGCCUUUUCCCAGGCCGCGGGGACAAGGGUGGGGGCAGGAAGGAGCUGCGCCCCUCCCCUCCCCUUCCCUCCCUCCCCCUCUUCUCUCCCGUACCCCCCCCUCCCCAGCGACUCCCCGCUGCUGGCUGGUAGAGGCCGGGAGCCCAGAUAAGGGGAAGCUUUAGAAUGCACAAGUGCGGGCGGCUUCCAGGAGGGUGGGCACCGUCCUUGACAGGCGAGGGGGACGGAGGAAGCCGCCCUUUUCCUGAACAGACACAGUCACCUCCCUCUGCACAGGUGGAAGAGGGGCCCAGGCUCUCAGGAUCAGACCUACUGGCACAUGUGGCAAGUCUCCCCAGGCUGUCACCUGGGACACGUGACUUCAGAGCUAGAAAAUGGGCUGCCACGCCUCCCUGGCUGGGCUCUGGGUAGCUUCAGGGAGCCAGAGUACCCGAAACGCCCAGCAUGGAGCCCGGCACCUAGGCGGUCCCCCCAGGAGCUGCACUCCCUCCUCCCUGGAGCAGUUCAGCAGACUGUGGCAACUGGGGUGCUCUGAAUCAGCAGGUGGCCUCUAGGGUCCCACCCCACCCCCAUCUGGAUGGGAGUCUGACCGUGGCUGUCCACGGAGCACGGGAGGGCGCGUGGCUGCGGGCGUGCUCUGUACAGGUGUGUGGUCACUGCUCCUGCGUGACUCGGGGGAAGCCUUGGCUGCAUGCUACGCUCUGCACUGCCUUAGGGGCACUUGGAGGGCUUGCUGUCCCUAGGCAUUUUGCCAGUGCUGAGGAAGGGGGUGCCAGGUGGCAGACAUGAGGCUCCUGCCUGGAGCCCACACGAACGCUGUACCUACUCAGACGCCCUGGAGGAACCGCUGAUCCCGGUACUUGGUCAGCCCAGCUGAGGGCCAGCCACUGCUUGGGGGACCACCAACCCCACCCUGGGUCCCUAGGGGAGGGCUUGUUGGGAGCACCCCUCCACCCAAAACAAUCACUUUACUUGGAUUCUCUGCAGCCAGGAAUCCAGUUCUGCAGGGACUGCGGGAGGGGGUGGGGCUGGGAGUACCUUCUAGGGGCAAGGCGGGACCCAGCAAGGUCCAAAGAGGAGGCAGGGCUUCAGCCCGGGGAGCCAGCGGCUGGCAUCAGGGUGCGUGAGCCAGAGUCGAAACCCAGGAGCACAGUUCCCUGGACGGCAGCCAUGUCCGAGCGCAGCUGGGAAUUGCAGGGCCUUGACGAGGGUCUAGGCAGUGACUCACAGCUAUGAGUGGCCUGCUUGGUGGACCUGCUCAAGAGGUCCGCAGCACAAGGAGCCUUUGGGGACCCGGAGAUGGGCCCAUCCGGGAAGCAGGAGGAUGGUGUCAGGACGGCCAGGGCAGCCCCAAGAGCCUGCUGGUCACCCACUGGGACGGAUUAGGCUGGGGGCCUCCCGGGGGGGAACCUAUAGGUGACUUUGGAAGGGAGUGGAGGGCAGCCCCAUUCACCCCUUGGCACCUGCUCUACCCCCAGAGCACCUCUCUUGAAGGGGAAACAGGCCCCAGGCUGGCUUUGGGAGGUGGGUGACCCUGAGCCCUGGACUCCUCUCGAGCAGGUGGACCCCCUACCACAGAUAUCCGGCCCGAUCAGGUUUGAUGCAAAAGGGCAGAGGGCACCCAGGCAAACUGGGAUGGGUGUGCUGGAGACAUGUGCUCUGUCCUCUGCUCCACAGCCCUGGCUGGUACUGUCAGCGUGGGCUGGCAUAUCCCACAGGCUGCAAGGGGCACCCGGUGACGCUCAGUGGAGCCAUUUUUGCACCAAAAGUGGGGCUUGCGCUGGGCAACCAGCACGUUUUGGUGGGUCCCUCGCCUGCCUAUGGACUCCCUGGGGGUGGACUGUCAGGGGGAGGGCAAGAUGGCUUAGUUGCCUGUGUCCCCGUCGCCCACACCCUGCCAGCCCGGCACCUGGCGCCAAGGAGGAGCUUGGCCAAGGAAGAGGGAAUGCAGGGACGAGGGGCGUGUGCUCGACUGCCUCGCUGCGGGCAGCGGGCGCCCCAGGGCUCUGCCCGGAACUGAGGGCAGCACGCGGGCCGGGCCCGUCCCCCUGUCCCCCACCCCGCCAGCUUCAGAGGGGCAGUUGGCCACCUCCCCCAAGCCAGCUCUCGGCCCAAGGGAGACACGUGCCAGAGACGUGGUCCAGGCCCUACCCCACCCCACCCCAGCUGCACGCCCACCCGCAGUGGGCCAGGGUGGAGGUGAGGGUGGCGGGUGGGCCAUGGGAGGCUGACUCCUCCCGCCUUCCUCCCCUCCCCCCUCCCCCUGGACAGUAGCAGCUUUGAUCCAAUUUUGAGUUGUGGGAAAUAUGAAAUGAAUGGUGUUAAAUCUCAGCCCGGCCGGAUGAAAGGCUUGAUCCCUCCCCGAGUGCGGGCCAGAUGGCAGCGCGGCCUCCGAGGCACACGCCUGGCCUUUGUGGGCCGUUUAACACUGUGAAUGGGGCCAAAGUGUGGGAAAGUCGCUGGGCUCCUGGCUCACAUGUCCGUCCGAGGUGAAUGGAUAAGUGAAAUGUGGUCCAUCCCUAUGACAGAAUGUUAUUCAGCGUUAGAAAGGAAGGUGAUUCUGACACCUGCUCCAACGUGGAUGGACCUUGAGGACACUGUGCUGAGCGAGAUGAGCCAGCCAGAAAGGACACAUCCUACAUGAUCCUGCUUCUGUGACGUCCCUGGAGGAGUCACACUCACAGAGACAGAAAGGAGGAGGGUGGCGGCCGGGGCUGGGGGAGGGGUGGGCAGUGAG